GUUCAUCUCCGUCAUCACAGAAAGAAGACCAAUGGGAGCAAACCUGGAGGUUGGAGAUCUGUUAAAUUUCACUGGUAAUGAAAGCCUACAGAGUCUCCCCACAUGAGUGCUGCAAUCCAUCCAUGUGGAUGGAUGGAUUUCAGUGUUGAGUCCUUUGUGCCAGAGCUUCCCACUGCAUUUCAGACCUGGUUACAGGAAACUUGUCUGAUGGAGGAAAACAAAGUUCUGUUUCCCUUCCCAUUCCUCCUGACUCUAAGCAGCAUCACACCAUGUUCUUCCUGCCUGGCUGACACAAGAGCAAUGCCAGUACGGGCCAGUGCUAAAAGACCAGAUCUCUUAAGGGAUGCAAAGAACUUGGAAACUGUGCUGAUGGACAUCGUAGACACAGAAAGUGAUUGUCUCCCAAUAAACUACUUCUACACUCCCUGAGACAGGAAGAAAUCUAUAGUGAAAUAAGCUUGUAGGAGCAGCACUAUAAAUCCACGGCAUAAGGAAAAAUGGUUCUUUGACUUCCUUCACAAUAUAACAUCAUGUCAAAAAUAGACUUGAGAUCCUGUUAUUUAUAUUACUGAAGUACUGAAUGGCCUUGCCUGAGAACAGGCUGUUCCAGCAUUAACUGGAGUGCUGUGUUUCAAUGGGAGAUGGUCUGUGCCAUGAAGAACUGACACGUGAGGUAAACAAGAAGGACAAGGAGUCUUCUGACAGCUGGAGCAGCCCACGACCACCAGCUGGAAGUGGUGAAGUACAAGUGGCAAAUCUAAGCCAUUUUCCAAGGCUGUCCGUGAAGAAGUUACUGGCUUUAUCCUCCUCCCUGCUCACCCAGAGGAUGUGGUGCUCAGCUUGGCACUGAUGGCAGAUGACUCAGCCACCCCACAAGGAUUGCAAACCUCUUUAGGAGAUGAGGAAACCCCUGUGGCUGUCAGAGCUACUUACUCACAGUGCCACAUCAGCAUGACAGCUCUGAAGAAGCGAGCAGCUGCAAGACGUGCCUUGCUUUGGGGAGGCUCAGCAACAGCUUCUCAGGAUAACAGCAUCUCUCCAUCUGCAUCUCAGUGAUGAGUUGCAAACACAGUGCAAGUCAAUCUUUGCCAUCCAAAACAUGCUUAGUAAGAGCGGCAGCGUUUCUCUGAGAAGGUGUGGCAUUGAAUGCAAAUGAACAGUGUCUUGAGAUGGCAUUAAUUUAUGCCACAGAAAAAAAAAAAGCUCUUUCAUGUGCUCCACGUGCUACAUGACCAAAAAUGUGUUGACCUAUGCGUGGCCACACUCAGACCUCUACAAAUGGGGUUCCUUUGGAACUGUUUAUUUUCCACUCUCCAAGACCUUUCAUUGGAUAGAGCACGUUGAAAGGCAAGAAAGAAAGAAAGAAAGAAAGAAAGAAAAUAUAUGCUGAGUGACUCUGCGAGAAAGCAUGAGAAAGCCUUACAAGGCAAAAUAAAAAGAUCUGGGCUGUGGCUGGAGGCUUGGUUCCUACCCCAGCUCAGCACUGUGCUCAGCCCAUCCAUGUGCUGGGGAGAAGAGCUUCCCUUGCUGGCUCACAGCUCCCUCCUCGGGAGUGUGCCAGGCUGGCUGCCUGGGAUCCCAGUGGGCAUGGUAGCAACUACAUGGGAGAGCUGCAAGAGAAGAGCAUUCACCAAAGCGUGCUACAUGGAC
ensembl:lncRNA